UCCGGGUUUGGUUAAAGUUGCGGUUCAUGGUGGUAACCCGUGUGACCCGGAUAAGAGAUCGUGGGGCCCACUUGUUAUGAUGAAUGAGCUGAAGGAGUGGGUUGAAGGGAGAUUUUCUGGUUUGGUUGAUUCGAGUGAACCUGUGGUGAAACAAUCCUGCAUGUAUUCAAUGACACCUGAUGAGGAUUUUGUGAUUGAUUUUUUGGGUGGUGAGUUUGGGAAGAAUGUGGUUUUGGGUGGCGGGUUUUCGGGUCAUGGGUUUAAGAUGGCUCCUGUUAUUGGUAAGAUAUUGACUCAACUCGCGCUGGAUGGGGAAACUAAUGAGGUUGAUUUGAAACAUUUCAGGAUUGGAAGGUUCAACGUGGCAUCUAAGGUUUAGGUAAUUUUCUUCUCUUUAAUUAUGUUUUGGUUAUGCAUAUGAAAUAAUUGAGAAAAAUGUGUGUUGAAUGUAUUAUAAAUUCAGAAUUAUGAUGGCUGGAUGAAAUAGUAUGUUAUUGUAGUUGAUUGCAGCAAUUGGAAUUUGCAUAUGUUUUAUUUGAAACUCGAUAUUUGUAUCAAUGUAUUGCUCUCUUGAAACGGUGCUGCUAGUAAUCGAAUUCAACGUUUUAGAGACCAAGCUCAUGGGUAGCUUUACGUGGUUUUCACCCUUCUGCAGAAAAAUAAUGUACAUUUUUUGGGGUUUUAACCGUUCGGUUUCCAAGAGAAAGGAUUCUAGUAAUUCUAAGUUCAGCGUAAAGGUAAGUAAAAGCUUACCAUAAUUAUUUCGGUAAGAAUUUAAAUUCGAGUUCUUUAGAAUGGUUCCUCCUUAGUUGAAAUUGAUUAACCACUUGAGCUAAACCAUUUGAUAAAGAAAAAUGAAUAUAUAACAACACAAAUGGUGACAACAAUAACUGACCUUUAGAAGUUGGAGUUUUUAGUUCAAAAGAUGAAGUGGGCAGAGUUGGAUAAUUUAAAUAAGAAUGAGUGAGUUAUAAUGUACUUUUAAAAAAUGAAGAAAAAAACAAUUUGUGGACCCUCUGUAUGUCCCUUUUUCUCUAAAAUAGGUUAGUGGAAUUAAAAAGGGUUGCUUUGGGAUAGUUGAGUGUGUUAUGAUUACUAAAAUCAACUACUGUAUCAUUGGCUGCUUGAAUAAGAUAUAUGAACCAGAAAAAGGAAAACAUUCAUUUAAUAAUUCUUAAUAAUCAUUAGUUAGAGGACACGAGGCCAUAGUUGUGUCUGCCACUGUUUUGACCCAAGUAAGACAUUUUUAGGAUGUUUUUUAUAGUAAUGGAAAAGUUAUAAGUUUUGGAGGUUCUCUAAUCCCAAUAUCUUGAAGGAACUAGUAAAAGCUUCCACCUUGUAUUAUGCUUCGUUACUUUUCCUUUAUUUUUGAAUUAUAGGUUUCAAGUUAGGAGCUAGUGUGCAGUUAAGCUGUUUUCUCUCUUCAUGCUGCAAAUUGGAUUGUGAUUCUUGUACUCCAAUUGUGGAGAUAUGCUUUGACUGAUAGAUUUCAUCUCACAUCUACUUGUUUCUUUUUAUGGAACAAGAUGUUUUAGAUUGAAAAUUGCUUCCUCUCGGUUCUGCUUUAUUUUUUUUUUGAAAUAAGGAAUACUUUCAUUAAGCUGGUUCUGGCAAUAAAUCAAAGGCCACAACCGCAGAAAUACAAAUAGGUGUGUCUUCAAUUCUCUUCAAUCCAAACAUAUCUGAAUUAGAAGAAAGAGCAAAUUUAGCUAGAUAAUGAGCAGCUUGAUUAGCUACACGUCCAAUAUGGGUAAAGGUAAUAGAAUUAAACCUAGACAUUAAAUUGGUGCAAUCUCCUGCAAUUGCAUCACUUUGCUUGAAUCUGAUUCUGCAUAUAAAUUCAAAAAUAGUAGGUCUUUUGCAAAUUCCGACACCAACAGGCCGCCACUAAACUGAUGCCGUCUGCAUCCCUAAUGACAGCUGCGGUUCCCUAUUUUCUUUCCUUCGAAGGACCUACUGCGUCAACAUUCAGUUAACCUUCUAACGGCAAACACCAUCUGAUAUUUGAAUCCAGCACGGACAUGAACUGAUUCGGGAGCUGCAUUAUCUCAGUAUGUGCAUUGUUGAAGCUAUUAACAACAUUACUGCAGCAGCUUGCUGCCCUAGGAAUUUCCAUUCCUUCAAAGCACCUUCCGUUUCUAAUUCUCCAAAUUUCAUCACAUAGCCAUAACCAAUUGAACCGCAUCCUCAUCUUCACAAGUAAUUACUUGCUCUAGCCAAGCACUACAUGUGCUGAUUGAGUCAGUAUUCCUAAGGAAGAUGCAAACCAUACGGAUCUAACCCGUUCAAAUUCAUGAACAAAUGUUCUAUGGUUUCAUUAUGCUGAUCACAAAAACAACAUAGUGGGCUGCAUCGAACUCCUUUAUGAUGCUUUAUUUGUUUUCUUUGAUUAAGCUUUAUGAUGCUGUUGUUUUUUAUGAUUCUGUUCACUUGAAAGCUGUUAUCAAUUGUGUAUGCAUAUACUUCUAAUAUUUUUGAACAAUGAAUAAACUGUGUUUAUAGCAAAGGUCAUUUACACAUUAUCUGUAGCAUUUGCAUUUUAAAAAGUUACAUUUUGUAAUAUUUUUAUUGAGAAUAGCUUAAGUCAUUCUAGUUCAUGCACUAGGCUUAUUUAAUAUUUGAAGUUUUUAAUUUUUACAUAUUUAAACCUUAUUCUGAAAAUUGAAAGCCAGCCACUGUAUUAUUAGGAUUUUAUCAAGGAAUGGUCAAAUGAAUUUGUUUCCUCUUAUUUUACCUACUACUCUUUCUUUUGGUCUAUUUCUUUCUUGUAAUUCCAUUUGGAUGCUCUGUUUUUUCCUAAGCUCAGUUCUUUUAAAUUGUUUCUGCAGUUUAUGUCAAGCUGAUAUUGAUUAUAUUUGCAGGAAUUUGAAAAAUCAAAUAUUUGGUUCAAAAAUAUGGUAAUGCACAUGAAGUAUCUUGUUUUAGAUUAUUCAGGGAAGGAAUAUGUAAGAGGAGGAACGGAGAACAGUCUUAAUCAUGUUUGUGUAUUUGAAGGUGAAAAGGAAAGAACAUAAAAUGUAGGUGUAGGGUAUUUAUAGUUACAGUUAUUGUUGUAUUUAGUUGGUGACAAUUGCUGCAAGACUUUAACAAUGAAGUUGUUGAUUAAUAUUGUAUGUAUCAUAUUUUUAUUGAAUUAUUGCAAGAGUCUGGGGAUUCAAACAAACAUACAUGGAAAUCGAACUUGAGACCUUUCAAUUAAAGAAGAAGUGCGCAACCACUAAACCAACAAUUCAAUCAUGUUAAUAAAAAAACGUUUAUACUUACAUAUAUUCACUAAUAUUCCUGAAUUGAUCGAUAGAUAAGCUUUGAACUAGCUAUUCAUUAGAACAAGUGUGCAUAACUUAUACAUGAAAUCUCGAAAGCAUUAUAAAAAUGACACAUUUGAUAAGAUCUUGUGUCAUGUACCCUUUUAAUGAGAAUUUAAGAGUCAAGUCAUUUAACUAUUUGAAGCGGCCUCACUUCAUCCUCGCAUCAAAUAAGGAGUCAGACAUACCGUUAGAAUAUGGCUCAUGCAUAUAUAAUCAUCAUUGUCCCAUUUUUGCCCCUCUUUUGUUUUUGCUAAUGUUUCCACUUUCUUCUCUAGUGGACUUGUGGUGUUCAUAACAUACACCACAUUCAAAUUUGUAAGAACAAAUUUCAUCUUUUUCUGCCAACCGAUAAAAUUUCCUCCAUCAUAUUUCUCCAACUUCACAAAAUUAGAAGUCAUUAUUUGAGUGAUGCAGCCAUUGAUUGAAUUGUUACAAGACUUUAACAAUAAAGUUGUUGAUGAAGAUUAUAUGUACCAAAUUCUAAAGUGUGUUAUUACAUUUAACCUUUAGAUUCGAUCCGUCCUCAUCUACCGGAUGCAAAUGAGAUGAAUAGCGAAUCUCCUUCAGUAUAUUUCAGUAGUAUUUUACAAAAUAAUAGUAGCCUUGAGGAAGAGUUUCGCCCUUUUCGAAUUUAGGACAUUUCAAUUAAAGAAACAACACACAACCACCAAAUCGACAAUUCAAUCGUAUUAAUAAAAAGCAUUUAUACACAUAUAUUUAUCAAUAUUUUAAAAAUUUCUCAAUUGUCUAUCUAAUUGAACCAAUCUGUCUGUAAUUGGUAAACUUGUAGCUAGAACAGCUGCAACGGAAUUCAAUUUAUGCUCAUUAUUGAGCUGUUAGAGUUACACCGUUGGCAUGCACUCCCAUAAUCCAAUUUUGAGUUGAACCGGCAUGAGUUAGCAUAGCUAGAACUACAAUUCUACUAUUUUAAUUGACAAAUGUUACCAUAAUCUGUAUUAUGUUGACAAAUGUUAGCAUGGUCUGGAUUAUCUCGACAAAUGUUAGUAUUAUUUUUAAUCCUUGUCAUAUUUAAAAAUAAUAAUUGAGUACUAAUCAUUAAAAAGAAUUAUAGAAUACAAUGAAUUAGUGACAAACAAAAUAAAAUCAUACUUAACCUAGUAUUAGAUCAAUACUCCUACUUAACUACAAUUUGUUUGUGAAUAACAAGGGCUUAAAAGACCCAAAUCAGAACAACUACAACCAAUGUAGAUGUAGGGAAGUAACAAGAAAAAUUAUCAAAAUAAAAGGGGGAAACAACAUUAAAAAUUCUACUUUACCCAACAAAGGAAAUAUAAAACUUGGCAAGGUUUUGAUUAGCUUCCUUUAAAACCUGAAACUACUACUGGUAAUCUCCACCUUUGACAGAAUAUUGGUUAAUUUAAUACCAUAAGGGUCAGUCACUACCCGAAGAGUGAAACACUUGCUACUAUAGUAUACUGUAUUUUGUAAAUCGCUUUGUCUUGCAUGUCGCCAUUUACUAAUAAAUAAAGACAAAAAAACAACAAAUGUGUGUCAUCACUGGCGUCUAUCAUAGAAAAACAAACACGCGCAGCCAAAAGAUUCCACCUUUUCUAUACACUCAGAUAUUAUUAUUAUUAUUAAACACACUUUCAUCACCAUCAUUCACACACACUCACUCCAAUUCCCUUCUCAAGAGAUCCAUACAAUCUAUGGAAAAUUCAAUACAGUUCGACUUAAUUGUCGUCGGAGCUGGCGUCAUGGGAAGUUCCACCGCCUAUUACGCCGCCAAACACGGCCUCAAAACCCUUUUACUUGAGCAAUUCGAUUUCCUCCACCACCGUGGAUCCUCCCACGGCGAAUCACGCACAAUUCGUGCUACCUAUCUCCAACCUCAUUACUACCCUCUCGUUCUUCAAUCCUACAAACUUUGGCUAGAAGCCCAAGCCCAAGUUGGCUACAACGUUUACUUCAAGGCCCCUCAUUUAGACAUGGCCCACUUCAACGACCCAACCAUCUUAGCCGUCAUCGAAAACUGCCGGAAACACGGCGCCCAACACCAUCUCCUCAACCACAUGCAGGUCGCCCAGAAAUUCUCCGGCAACUUCAACAUACCGGAAGAUUGGGUGGGCCUGUCCACAGAACACGGUGGGGUAAUAAAGCCCUCAAAAGCCGUUGCUAUGUUUCAGACACUAGCUUACAAAAACGGAGCCGUUUUAAAGGACAAUGCUGAAGUAACUGAUAUAAAAAACGACGGAGGCGUUGUCGUUUUAACUGCGAGCGGUGAAAAGUUUCACGGUAAAAAAUGCGUGGUAACUGUCGGGGCGUGGGUGAAUAAGUUAGUUAAGAAGAUAAAUGGAGUUGAACUUCCCAUACUACCCGUGGAGUGUCACGUAACUUACUGGAGAAUUACAGAGGGGCAUGAAGGGAAAUUCGCAAUUGGGAAUGAUUUUCCAACUUUUGCCAGCUUUGGGAGUGUGUAUGUGUACGGAACACCAACUUUGGAGUAUCCGGGUUUGAUUAAAGUUGCGGUUCAUGGUGGUAACCCGUGUGACCCGGAUAAGAGACCGUGGGGCCCACUUGUUAUGAUGAAUGAGUUGAAGGAGUGGGUUGAAGGGAGAUUUUCUGGUUUGGUUGAUUCGAGUGAACCUGUGGUGAAACAAUCCUGCAUGUAUUCAAUGACGCCUGAUGAGGAUUUUGUGAUUGAUUUCUUGGGUGGUGAAUUUGGGAAGAAUGUGGUUUUGGGUGGCGGGUUUUCGGGUCAUGGGUUUAAGAUGGCUCCUGUUAUUGGUAAG
rnacentral:lncRNA from 1 species